ensembl:lncRNA
ACACACACACACACACACACACACACAUUGAGUUUAUCCAUUCAUCUAUCAAAGGAUACUUGGGUGGCUUCCACAUUUUGGCUCCUGUGAGUAAUGCUGCUAUGAACAUGGGUGUACAAAUCUCUCCUAGAGAUCCUGCUUUCAGUUCUUUUGUGUAUAUACCCAGAAGCCAAAUUGCUGAAUCAUAUGGUAAUUCUAUAUUUAAUUUUUGGAGGAGCCGCCAUACUGUUUUCCGUAGUGGCUGCCCCAUUUUACAUUCCUCCCAGCAGAGCACAAUGUUGUAAUUUCUCCACAGCCUUGCUCAUACUUUGGUUUCUUUGACAGUCCUGAAAUGCCAGUUGGCAGGUAAUUGAAAAGAACUUUUUUGACCUGUGGAUGGGUGCCAGGUAUUUUCCAUCCUCCGUCUCAGGCAAAACUCUCAAUAGUCCUGUAAGGUAUGCAAGAUGACUUUCACUUCCCAGAUGAAGAGACCGACGCUCAGAGAGGUCAGAUGAUUUACUCAAGGUCCUCCAGCCUAGUGGAGUGGCAUGACUGGGAAGUGAAGCCACACCUCCCCUCGCCUCCUGCGCCUUCAGGCUGCGGGGAGAGCGGGCGAGCGAGCUUCACACAUGUGUUGCUCAUCACUUUCAUUCUCUGGAUCUCAUUAAAGAAACCCCUGUGCCUGGCAAGCCAUCCACUGCCAGCAUCCCUGACUCUGCAAAAUGCCCUCCCUCCCUGCGUUUGGAUCUGAGUGACUCAUAUACCGAGUGUCCCUUUACCUGGCUUUCAUCAGGAAGGGCAGGUACCCUAGCUUUUCCAACCUGUUAUCUCCGUUGUCCUGCUUCUAGCUUGGAACAUCGCAGAGCUGCUCACAUGCAGUAAUCAAUUCGAUUCAACAGGAAGCUAGUGCUGGGCAGGCGAGGCUUUGUGCUGGGGUAGGCGGAUACGAAGACAGUCCUGCCCUGAAGGCUUAGACCCUCCAGGAGCUGGAUGGGCAGCAAACACACCUCUAGAACAAAGAGAGAUGCUGUGCCUUUGAAAGCCGAGUAAAUGUAGUGCAGACUGUCAGGGCUCCAAAAACAGAGGGAACAGAAUUUUAAUGUGUUCUUGAGUCAUCUUUCUGACCCACCGUGGGUGUGUGCUCAGAAAAGCCACCCUGUUCAGUGUCAGGCUGAACAAAACAUAUUCAGGAAGGAAAUAGGCUAUAAACAAAUUAUACAGCCUGGUCAAAAGCUAAGAGAUGCCAUCUUUGGAUUAUGCAUUUUUUUCUAGCUCCCUGGGUCCUGGUUUAGUUGGGGUUGAAUGUCUGGCCCAGAGUGUCAUUGGUAUGUGGCUCAAAGCUUGUGGGAUGCAGUUCUGCUGCAGGACACAGAACAAUCAGUCAAUGAACCCUCAACAAAAACUAAGGGAAAUCCUCAUGAGAGGGUUUCACCAGCCUCCAAGAGGGAUUCCACAGUUCCAGAUAUGGAAUGGCCUUCCUAAGAUGUGAAUUGCAUAUUUUAGCACUUACAAAAUUAUAACCCACAUAAUGAGUGCUUCACUGCUUUAUGAAUGCAAUUUCAUUUAUUUGUAUAAAAAUCCUGUGAAGUACAGGUACUAUUAUUAGUGAGGCAAGUGAAUUCUCUAGAGUCUCACAACUAGUCAAUGAUGGGAAUCCAGUCUUGAACAUGAUUCUGCUUCUUUUCUAAAGGCUUUGCUUUCAAACGCAGCUCUAAACCACUUCUCCAUCGCAUGCGCUACAGGAAGAUAGGACAUGGGUUGAAAAAAGGAAGUCAAUAGAAAUGUCUCUUACCUUUGUUCCCACUUAGCAUUCUUCCAGAGGUAUUUUUAGGGGACAAAAACUGUAAAAGAAUGAGGACUUUGGUGGGAGGGGGCGGUGAAGACCAUCGAUUCUGUAUUAAAAGAGCCCUUACUUGUCUGCAGUCUGAGUUCUCUUAGCAUGGCUGAUUUUUCUUGGCUCUCAAGUGGUAAAGAAUGUAUCAACUUCAACAAUUCCUUUGCUCCACACCCCAAGGGUUUUUCUUUCCUGUUAGGGUUGUUUUGUUUUUUUUUUUUUUAAUUCUUGUAAAAUACACACAAUAUAAAAUACACUAUUAACAAUCUUUGGUAAACUCAUAAUUUUGUGCAACUAUUGCCACCAUCUAAUUCUAGAAGAUUUUCACCGCCCCAAAAGGAAGCCCUGUGCCCAGUGAUCAGUCACUUCCCAUUCCUCCCUCUGCCAGCUCCUGGCAAACAUUAAGCUACUUGCUGUCUCUGUAGAUGUUUUGAUUCUAGCUAUUUCUAGAUAUUUCAUAUAGAUGGAAAUACACACUAUGUGGCCUUCUGUGUGUCCUGGCAAUUUUUACCACUCAUGGCUCAAUACUGGAAGCCCCACUGCCUUUGUGGAGCUAUGUCCCAAGGUGGGUACAGCUUUGGGAUCAGUGACAUCAAGCUGGGCAAGUUAUAUGACUUCCCUGAGCUGGUCGAGGUUGUUGGAGGAUUAAGUGAAAUGAUGUAAAGCUCCUUGUCUUUGACUUUGGGCAAUUUAUUUAAUACUUCUUUGCCUCAAAUUUCUUUCCCUAUAAGAUGGAGAUAUAAUAGUAUCUACACCUUGGGGCUAGUCUGAGGACUGCAUGAGGUAAUACGGGGCAGUAUGUAAAAUGACGCUUGCGUAUGGGAAUGGCUCAGUAUGCGUUGGUAACUCAUGCUUGGGUGGUGGCAUGCGUUAGAUCAGGCCUGACGUCAUUCACUAUAAUGAUGGAGGCUACUCAGUGGCCUGUCUGCUGGCAGAUACAGCCUGUACGUGUCAUCAGAGCUUCCCUGGUCACUCAUGCUUCAUCCCAGGAACUUCUGAGAUACUCUACUACCUGAAGAGUUCAGAUUCCUUAGCUUUGUGUUUCAGAUCCUCUGUGUCUUGCUUCUUUCCUUUCUAGUUUCUCUUCAUCCUAUUUCACAGGAACCCUUUUCCUACCACCAUGCUGGACCACCCUCCAUUCACAAGGGCCCUCUGGGCUCUCCAGUCUCUGUGCCUUUGUUCCUGCUCUUCCCUUUGCUGGGAAUGCCCUUCCACUCAUCAUGAUCCAGCGAAGCUAUGCUCAUUUCUCCCACCCAUCAUAAUUAUAUGUACCUCCCUGGGUUGUUCUGAGAUCAUCUGACCUAAGGCAUGACCAAGAUGACACACAUAAUGUUAACUGAGAUAAAAACAACUCAUGUGUGGGAGACAGCUGGUGAUUAUUCAGGAUGUGUUAGUUAUCUUCAUACUGUAUCAUUAUAUCGUUCCAUUAAGACUGUGUGUACACACCUGCCCUCCCAGCUAGACUGCACAUUCCUUGAGAAUAUGGCUAUAACUCAUGUUUAUAUCCCCCCUGGUGCCCACAUGGAAACCUGCAUGUAGAGAGUUUCUAUAAUCAUGUAUUAAAUUGAAUUAAAAUGAGAGAUCUCUGUGGUUAUUCCCAACCCUUGUUUUCUGGAGUGGGAGAAAUCAGUUUUUAAUGAAGUCAGAGCCAGUUGGGGAAAUUGGCUGGGUCUGUUUGCCUUGAUCUUUCAGAUCUGAAACCACCCCCUUGGCACCCGAUGUCUCUGUGUUGCUACCAGAUCCCCUGACCCUCUCACAGGGCUGCCCUGACCAGGCCCCCCUUUCCUGCUUUAGGCCUUUCCCACCUUCCUCCCCCACUUCCGAAGGUACCCAUUGAGUCCCAUCACCUGUCCAGAUGGGUGAUCGGUAAAUGGCUAAUUAGUCUGACACUAAGUAAUGUCAACAUGUUGAAGAGGGGCCAGCUGUGCCGCAAAUUAACUGCGUGACCUUCAGCAAACCCUUUCAUCAUUCUGACCCACAAACUGCUUUCAGGUGCUGCUCCUGAAGACACCCUCCUUCCCCGCCCCGGAAGAUACCUGCCCCUUCCUGGGCCUCUUUGCUGUCUGUCUCCUGCACCCUCCUCCAAGCACGUGUACCCUGUCUGUGCUUUCGUUCACUCUCUUCCCUGCCUCAAACCCUUCAUCCAUGGGGACUUCUGGCUUCUUAUCACUGCCUGUGAUUCUCUCUUCUUCAUGGCUUUGUGUGUCUGUGUGUGUGCAUUCACACAUACGCAUCUCUACAGUCAGCUCUUUGUCUCUGCAGGUUCCGUAUCCGUGUGUUCAACCAACCACGGAUCCUCUACCAUGUUUACAUCUGCAACUGCUUGAAUCUGCAGAUGUGAAAUCCAUGGAUACAGGGGGCUGAAUGUACUAGACCAUUUUAUAUGAGACUUGAGCAUCUGGGGUUUUGGUGUCCACUGGGGUCCUGGAAACUGUCUUCGGCAGACACAGAGGGCCAACUGUGUAUGUGUGUGUGUGUGCGCGCGCCCUUGUCAAUCUUAACUUAUUAUCUUCACAUCCUGUACUGAAUACUGAUUUGGUUCCUAAACACUUCCUCUUGUUUCUCUAAUCGGAUAUAAGAAGUCAGGUCUCCAAGAAGGGCCUUUGGCUUCUAUUCUCUGAUCCUCCACAGUGUUUAGCACCAGGUUGUACAGACAGAAUAAGAUUAAUACAUACCUGAUGAAUUUACCUAACUUUAAAACAUCACCAAAGCAACAUGUGUAUACCUUAGAAGUUUU